rnacentral:lncRNA from 1 species
UCCCCACGCCGCCGCAGGCUGGCUGCAGGCUCCCGCACCCUCCCCCGCACGCCUGCCCAGCCUCCGGCCGAACCCCCGACCUCCUCGGCCCUGCCACCGAAACUUGCGCAUGCCACCAACGCACUCCAUCUGACCGGUGGCAACUUUUACCUUCCCAUCUGGAAAGCCGAUGGGGGAGGGGGCCCUGCACGAAGUCCCGGAGCCGGGGCGCACGCAGGCCCAGGAACGCACGGCUCUGCCGGCCCGGCCCGCGCCUCCACGUCCCGCAGCUGCUCCGACGCUCGGCCCCAGGAACUCGCCACUGUGCAGUCCCGUCCCCGCCGCUCCACCCACCCACUCUCUGGGAUUCUCCCUGCCCCAUCAGGCAGAGCUGCCCGCGGAACCCGUCGGCACCCACCUUCCCCUAGCACACCGCCUCCAGCCAGCAGCCUCGACUCCGCCCCGCACCCCCAGCCCCAGCGGCGUCCGGACCCCGACGGUCCCCUCCCCCACCUACCGCACCUGAACCGCGGUUGCGCCCGUGCAACAGGUCUGGAAAGUGCCUUCCCCAGCUCGCCGCCCCCCACCCCCCCUACGACCCCAGAGAGCCUGGGCGGAGGUGCAGUGGGCUGCGCUCCCCGGCUGGCGAGGCGCGGGGUGCCCGGCUGCGCCCAGGGCUGCGGGCGGUGGUCGCGCCCCGGCCUCCCCGAGGCCGACCGCCCUUGCGCGCGCCGCGGGCUCCUCAGCCUGUCCCUCCGGCGCCGGCCGCCAGGCACUCCGGGGCCGGCUCCCCCCUCGCGCUCCGCUCCGCUCCCUUCCAUCUUGACUUUUGCCGACGUGGAAAUUUUGGGUUUGGAGACGACCUGCGCUCUUAUUGGCUGCCGGCGAGCGGAGUCGGAGGUCACGGCUGCUCUCGCUAUUCCGCGCCAAGGGGAGCCGCACAGCGGCUCGUGUCAAGUCAGCAGGUUCCCUCCGCCUCCCCCGGGGUCACGUGCGCCGCGGGCGGGCCCGGGAGACGCCUCCUUAUGCAAAUAG